rnacentral:rRNA from 1 species
UACAGAGGUCUCAAGCGUUAUCCGGAUUCACUGGGUUUAAAGGGUGCGUAGGAGGGCAGGUAAGUCAGUGGUGAAAUCUCCAAGCUUAACUUGGAAACUGCCGUUGAUACUAUCUGUCUUGAAUAUUGUGGAGGUGAGCGGAAUAUGUCAUGUAGCGGUGAAAUGCUUAGAUAUGACAUAGAACACCAAUUGCGAAGGCAGCUCACUACACAAUCAUUGACUCUGAGGCACGAAAGCGUGGGGAUCAAACAGG